rnacentral:rRNA from 1 species
CACGUAGGGGCCAAGCGUUGUCCGGAUUUAUUGGGCGUAAAGAGCUCGUAGGCGGUUCGGUAAGUCGGGUGUGAAACCUCCAGGCUCAACCUGGAGACGCCACCCGAUACUGCUGUGACUGGAGUCCGGUAGGGGAGCGUGGAAUUCCUGGUGUAGCGGUGAAAUGCGCAGAUAUCAGGAGGAACACCAGCGGCGAAGGCGGCGCUCUGGGCCGGUACUGACGCUGAGGAGCGAAAGCGUGGGUAGCAAACAGG